CUGAAUUUCAAAAAUAAGACUGC
rnacentral:piRNA from 1 species